rnacentral:rRNA from 1 species
AGAGUUUGAUCCUGGCUCAGGACGAACGCUGGCGGUAUGCUUAACACAUGCAAGUCGAACGAGACAAAAGAGAAGUGCUUGCACGGAUCUUUUAGAAAGUGGCGAACGGGUGAGUAACGCGUGGGUAACCUACCCUAUGGAAAGGAAUAGCCUCGGGAAACUGGGAGUAAUGCCUUAUAAGAUAUAUUUGUCGCAUGGCAGAUGUAUUAAACGCUCCGGUGCCAUAGGAUGGACCCGCGUCCCAUUAGCUAGUUGGUGAGAUAACAGCCCACCAAGGCGACGAUGGGUAACCGGUCUGAGAGGGCGAACGGUCACACUGGAACUGAGACACGGUCCAGACUCCUACGGGAGGCAGCAGUGGGGAAUAUUGCGCAAUGGGGGAAACCCUGACGCAGCAAUACCGCGUGAGUGAAGAAGGUUUUCGGAUCGUAAAGCUCUGUUAUUGGGGAAGAAAAAAAGACGGUACCCAAGAAGAAAGUCCCGGCUAACUACGUGCCAGCAGCCGCGGUAAUACGUAGGGGACAAGCGUUGUCCGGAUUUACUGGGCGUAAAGGGCACGCAGGCGGUUUUUUAAGUCAGAUGUGAAAGGUACCGGCUCAACCGGUGACAUGCAUUUGAAACUGAAAGACUUGAGUAUUGGAGAGGCAAGUGGAAUUCCUAGUGUAGCGGUGAAAUGCGUAGAUAUUAGAGGAACACCGGUGACGAACGCGGCUUGCUGGACAAUACUGACGCUGAGUGCGAAAGCGUGGGGAGCAAACAGGAUUAGAUACCCUGGUAGUCCACGCCGUAACGAUGAGUGCUAGGUGUUUGGGGGAGACUCAGUGCCGCAGCUAACGCAAUAAGCACUUCCGCCUGGGG